rnacentral:rRNA from 1 species
GACGAACGCUGGCGGCGUGCCUAAUACAUGCAAGUAGAACGCUGAAGAGAGGAGCUUGCUCUUCUUGGAUGAGUUGCGAACGGGUGAGUAACGCGUAGGUAACCUGCCUGGUAGCGGGGGAUAACUAUUGGAAACGAUAGCUAAUACCGCAUAAAAUUGAUUAUUGCAUGAUAAUUAAUUGAAAGAUGCAACUGCAUCACUACCAGAUGGACCUGCGUUGUAUUAGCUAGUUGGUGAGGUAACGGCUCACCAAGGCGACGAUACAUAGCCGACCUGAGAGGGUGAUCGGCCACACUGGGACUGAGACACGGCCCAGACUCCUACGGGAGGCAGCAGUAGGGAAUCUUCGGCAAUGGGGGGAACCCUGACCGAGCAACGCCGCGUGAGUGAAGAAGGUUUUCGGAUCGUAAAGCUCUGUUGUAAGAGAAGAACGGGUGUGAGAGUGGAAAGUUCACACUGUGACGGUAGCUUACCAGAAAGGGACGGCUAACUACGUG